rnacentral:rRNA from 1 species
GUGAGGAAUAUUGGUCAAUGGGCGCAAGCCUGAACCAGCCAUGCCGCGUGCAGGAAGACGGUCCUAUGGAUUGUAAACUGCUUUUAUUUGGGAAUAAACUCCGGUACGUGUACCGGCCUGAAGGUACCAAAUGAAUAAGCACCGGCUAACUCCGUGCCAGCAGCCGCGGUAAUACGGAGGGUGCAAGCGUUAUCCGGAAUCAUUGGGUUUAAAGGGUCCGCAGGCGGUCUUAUAAGUCAGUGGUGAAAGCCUACAGCUCAACUGUAGAACUGCCAUUGAUACUGUAGGACUUGAAUUCGAUCGAAGUGGGCGGAAUGUGACAUGUAGCGGUGAAAUGCUUAGAUAUGUCACAGAACACCGAUAGCGAAGGCAGCUCACUAGGUCUGGAUUGACGCUCAGGGACGAAAGCGUGGGGAGCAAACAGGAUUAGAUACCCGGGUAGUCC